CCUACGGGUGGCAGCAGUGAGGAAUAUUGGUCAAUGGCCGGAAGGCUGAACCAGCCAAGUCGCGUGAGGGAAGACUGCCCUAUGGGUUGUACACCUCUUUUAUCAGGGAAGAAUAAAUGCUACGUGUAGCAUGAUGCCUGUACCCUAUGAAUAAGCAUCGGCUAACUCCGUGCCAGCAGCCGCGGUAAUACGGAGGAUGCGAGCGUUAUCCGGAUUUAUUGGGUUUAAAGGGUGCGUAGGCGGUUGUUUAAGUUAGUGGUUAAAUGUCGGGGCUUAACCUUGUGUUGCCAGUAAUACUGGAAGACUCGAGUUCAGACAAAGUAGGCGGAAUACGUUAAGUAGCGGUGAAAUGCUUAGAUAUAGCGUAGAACUCCGAUUGCGAAGGCAGCUUACCAGAGUGCGACUGACGCUGAAGCACGAGAGCGUGGGUAGCGAACAGGAUUAGAUACCCCAGUAGUC
rnacentral:rRNA from 1 species